rnacentral:misc_RNA from 1 species
CGAAAUGCGAUAAGUAGUGUUAAUUGCAGAAUUCAGUGAAUCAUCGAAUCUUUGAACGCACAUUGCGCCCCUUGGUAUUCCAUGGGGCAUGCCUGUUCGAGCGUCAUUUGUACCCUCAAGCUCUGCUUGGUGUUGGGUGUUUGUCCCCGUCUCCGCGCGUGGACUCGCCCCAAAGUGAUUGGCAGCCGGCGUACUGGUCCCGGAGCGCAGCACAUGUCGCGCAAACGAGUGCCUUGGUACGGCGGCGUCCAUAAGCCCCUCUCUCACGCUCUUGACCUCGGAUCAGGUAGGGAUACCCGCUGAACUUAAGC